UCCUGGUUAGUACAAUGGUUAGUAUAGGACACUCUCAAAGCCAGCUUCUGUUCUCUCAGUAGCGCGUUCUGUUCAGAUCGGGGUUCGAUUCCCCGGCCGGGAA